UACGUAGGGUGCAAGCGUUAAUCGGAAUUACUGGGCGUAAAGCGUGCGCAGGCGGUUUUGUAAGUUUGUCGUGAAAGCCCCGGGCUCAACCUGGGAAUUGCGAUGGAGACUGCAAGGCUUGAAUCUGGCAGAGGGGGGUAGAAUUCCACGUGUAGCAGUGAAAUGCGUAGAGAUGUGGAGGAACACCGAUGGCGAAGGCAGCCCCCUGGGUCAAGAUUGACGCUCAUGCACGAAAGCUGGGGGAGCAAACCGG
rnacentral:rRNA from 1 species